rnacentral:lncRNA from 1 species
GGAGGUGUUAGCUAACCUAUGGUGGUAAUCAUUUUGCAAUAUAUGUGUAUCAAGUCAACUCAUUGUACACCUUAAAAUUACACAAUGUGGAUAUGAAUAAACAAAUUAUUUAUCCCCAAUAAAAUUUUCAAAUCUUAUUUUACAAUUCAAAAAUACCUAUUGUUGGCAAAGGGAGGGAGAAAUGGAAACUCAGAAUCUGAAGUCAGGGGUGUAAAUUGAUAAAGCCUCUUUAGAAAGUAGUUUUGCAUUUUUUAGUUAAAACGUAAGAUAUUCAUACCCUGUGCCUCAUGAUUAUGCUUCUUUUCAAGUAUCCUGGGCAAACUCCAGCACAUGAGCACAAGGGGAGCCUAUUGAGUGAUGUCAGCAUCAUGGUGAGUGAGCUCUCCCAGUAAUCUCUCCCUUCCACCAUACAACAAAAAAGACCUUCAUACUCCAACAGAGGACAUCCACAAAACACAAAAGUCAUCUUAGAGACCCACGCAGCCAUAUGUUGGAUGGAGGAGAGGCUGGAGCCCCCCUGGGAGGGGGUGGAAUGAGGCCUGGUAUCUGUUCACUGUGAUCCAGUCUCCUUAACGGUUUUGAUCAUAUUGGUUCACCAAUUCUUACAAGUUACCAAAAAUCUGGAUUGAAAACAGGAUCUUGAUAAUAUUGUGCUUCUGUAAUGGAAGUACUGUUAUUAUAUCUGAAUUGGUUUUGAAACACAUAUUUGGUCAACAUAGUGAAGUGCAUGAAAAUCAAAUAAAAAUAAAGCCAUAUGCAAAUUAAUUUUGUUGAAAAUAUAUAAAGUGGCAGAAACAGGAAGAAAAUUAAAGAUAUUUUACAC